rnacentral:misc_RNA from 1 species
UUAAGUUCAGCGGGUAUUCCUACCUGAUCCGAGGUCAACCUUGAGAAGUGGUCGUUUUACGGCAAGCGCCCGCCGCGCGCCCUGAGCGAGAUGCGUUACUGCGCUCGGUGCGACGGCGAGCCCGCCACUGGUUUCGAGGGCCUGCGCGGCUUGGCGCGCAGUGCCCCAACACGGGCGCCGGGGCCCGACUGGUUGAAAUG